rnacentral:rRNA from 1 species
AUUGAACGCUGGCGGAAUGCUUUACACAUGCAAGUCGAACGGCAGCACGGGUGCUUGCACCUGGUGGCGAGUGGCGAACGGGUGAGUAAUGCACCGGAACGUAUCCAAUAAUGGGGGAUAACGCACCGAAAGGUGUGCUAAUACCGCAUACGCCCUGAGGGGGAAAGCGGGGGAUCGUAAGACCUCGCGUUAAUGGAGCGGCCGAUGCCGGAUUAGCUAGUUGGUGAGGUAAAGGCUCACCAAGGCGACGAUCCGUAGCUGGUCUGAGAGGACGACCAGCCACACUGGAACUGAGACACGGUCCAGACUCCUACGGGAGGCAGCAGUGGGGAAUUUUGGACAAUGGGCGCAAGCCUGAUCCAGCCAUUCCGCGUGAGUGAAGAAGGCCUCGGGUUGUAAGACUCUUUCGUC